rnacentral:rRNA from 1 species
CGAGCACGCGCGUGUGGCAUAUCAAUAAGCGGAGGAAAAGAAACUAACAAGGAUUCCCUUAGUAACGGCGAGUGAAGCGGGAAGAGCUCAAAUUUGAAAUCUUCAAGGGUUCUACCUUGACGAAUUGUAGUUUAUAAGAAGUGUUUUUCUGUUAGUAGAGGUGGCUAAAAGUUCUUUGGAAUAGGACAUCAUAGAGGGUGAGAAUCCCGUAUUUGGUCAUUCCUCCUAGCGUUGUGAUACACUUUCAACGAGUCGGAUUGUUUGGGAAUGCAGUCCAAAAUGGGUGGUAAAUUUCAUCUAAAGCUAAAUAUUGGCGAGAGACCGAUAGCGAACGAGUACCGUGAGGGAAAGAUGAAAAGAACUUUGAAAAGAGAGUUAAACAGUACGUGAAAUUGUCAAAAGGGAAGCGUUUGACACCAGUGUUGUUUUCUCGAAAAUCAAUUAAAAAGAGUUGGAUUUUGUAUUGUUAAGACCUUAUCAGCUUACUGUACUUUUUUCUUGCUCUUUUUAAUGCACUUUUCGUUUAACAAGUCAACAUCAAUUUCUUUUGUUGUAAAAAGGUAAGAGGAAGGCGGCUUGCGCUUCGGCUCAAGUGUUUAUAGCCUUUUACCCCUGCAAUCGGAGAGAUUGAGGUCUGCAGCGUAGAUCCUUCGGGGUUAGAUACAUUUGUGCUAAGCUAUAGCCUUGUAUAGACAACUUGUUGACUAUGCUCAGUCAUGUAGCUUACUCGCUUAUGCUAUUUUACCUACGCUUAGGAUGUUGAGUAGCGACAUACGCAC